UACGUAGGGUGCAAGCGUUAAUCGGAAUUACUGGGCGUAAAGCGUGCGCAGGCGGUUGUGCAAGACAGAUGUGAAAUCCCCGGGCUCAACCUGGGAACUUGCAUUUGUGACUGCACGGCUAGAGUGUGUCAGAGGGGGGUAGAAUUCCACGUGUAGCAGUGAAAUGCGUAGAGAUGUGGAGGAAUACCGAUGGCGAAGGCAGCCCCCCUGGGAUAACACUGACGCUCAUGCACGAAAGCGUGGGGAGCAAACAGG
rnacentral:rRNA from 1 species